rfam:Oryza glaberrima chromosome 11 Oglab11_0261_5, whole genome shotgun sequence.
AAUAAGUUCAUUUCUAGGUUUUGACAGUAUGUCUUAUUUAUUUUUUUAAUUAGUAUUUUGAUUGUUAUUAGAUGAUAAAAUAUAAAUAGUAUUUUAUGCAUGACUUAUUUUAUUUAGAUUUUUUAUAUACUUUUAAAAUAAGACGGAUGGUCAAACGUUCAACCCAGAAACCCCUAAAUGAAUUUAUU